GCAAGGUGAACAUCUACAUUCCCUCAGUCUGCAAAAAGGAAGGAUGUCUAGACAGAGGAGGAUUCAAAGAAGACUAUCAUAAAGGAAGAAAACAACGAGAACAAACAUGCCGGUGUGUUGUUCUAAGUGUUUGCCUCAAGAAAAGGAAAUGGUUCCAUUUACCCAAGCACAUCCACAUUUCCCAUAAGCUCUGCAGUCAUGAUCUUGAAGUGAAAUCUCAAAACUGAAUUUCUAAGAGGAGCAGUUGGAAACUGAUGCUUGAUGAAGGGAAGGAAAAGCUUUUACUCAAUUAUCUACAAUAACAGCAGGAGAAAUGCUGAAAAUUACUGACACAGUAAAUGGAUUUUUGCAUAAAUGUUCUCUGUUUUCAAGUUUA
rnacentral:lncRNA from 1 species